UGUAAUACAUAUUAGUUGGAAUUAGCCCAAAGUUGGAAAAAUGUUUUGACCAUAUAAUGUUCGGAAGAUUAAAAUCGCCAAACACGCAGAGAUGAUUAUCAUUAACUUUAUUUUGAGCAAGGGAGACAAUUGUUGUCGGAAUUGGAUUUAAAAACGACAAAAAAAUUACUUUGGUGUCAUGAAAUCCAAUGUUAUCGGUUUUAUGUUCGAAUCGGAAUUAGUGUCGAUUUUAGGUGUCACAGAAACCAAUAAUAUCGAUUUUGGUAUCGGAAACAAACCAAGCAGCUAACGGCUGUUGGAUUUCAUUUGUUUAUUAGUUUUCCUUACUUCCAGUUGGAUAUUUUAUAAAAAUAGCCGGGAUAGAGUGCAUCGACGGCUCGAAUUUUUAUGUCACCAUCACACAUCUAAAUAAAAAUGUACAUGCAUAUAUAUAAAUCAAGGCAAUGUACGAGUAAAAUGAAGAUUCAUGAUUACUUACAAUCAGGGCAUUCAUACUGAAUUAUUUUCGAUUAUAAAAUAAAUGUUCGUCAAUACUGGG